rnacentral:rRNA from 1 species
AUUGAACGCUGGCGGCAGGCUUAACACAUGCAAGUCGAGCGAGCGGCGGACGGGUGAGUAAUGUCUGGGAAACUGCCAGAUGGAGGAGGAUAACUACUGGAAACGGUCGCUAAUACAGCAUACCAUCAGAGGUGACCAGAUGGGAUUAGCGAGUAGGUGGGGCAACGGUUCACAUAGGCGACGAUCCCUCGCUGGUCUGAGAGGAUGACCAGCCACACUGGAACUGAGACACGGUCCAUACUCCGACGAGAGGCAGCAGUGGGGAAUAUUGCACAAUGGGCGCAAGCCUGAUGCAGCCAUGCCGCGUGUGUGAAGAAGGCCUUCGGGUUGUAAAGCACUUUCAGCGAGGAGGCGUUACUCGCAGAAGAAGCACCGGCUAACUCCGUGCCAGCAGCCGCGGUAAUAC